AACACAAAUGCUUGAUCAAAGGCCCGGCCCGAGGAUAGUGGCGGGAUGUAUCGGCCCGACCCACGAGCCGGGUCUGGUGGGGUCAAGUUCGGGCUCGGGCAGAGAAUCUAAAUUCUACUUGGGAGCGAAAGGGAGACAUAGGUGAGCAGAACUUACAGUGUUUUGCUGCUGUUAUCCUGACUCAGGGAUCAUUUUACAAAGUCUACAGACUACCAUUACAACAACUUCAAAACA